ACUGUUAAUACUUAAAAAAACAUCGCUCUGCAGUAUCUCAGAAAUUGCGUUGAUACUCGAAGCAAAAGUGCGUGAUCAAAUGCUUCCGCAUGACAUUGUAUACUAUUUGAAGUAAUGAAAUAGUUAUUGUGGUGUACUCGGUAGUAUAUAUAUACCUAUAAACCUAACUAUAAAACCCAAAGAGAAAUUAUACAAACUAUUGAUUUGUUAAUUAAUCAGACUAGACUAAAAUUAUUAUAAUCGUUCGUUUGUACUUCAGGAAACGAUUGUUACACUAAUACUAAUUUCUUGAAAGGCUGAAUAAAGCUAAAUCGGACUCAUUUCCUUGUAUCAAAAUAGUCCAAUCUCUCAUUUUAUCCUAACAAAGCAAAACCAUGCAUUUAAACAUGCAGACGCUAUUAACUAAACAUGAACUAAACCAACAAAAACAUAUGAGUCAAACGUUCAACAAACGUUUAAAUGCAGACCUGAAUUUCUUCAUCCCAAUAAAAUAUAUAUAGGGAUUGAGACAAGAAUUUAAGAACGUAAAGGACAUCAGCCAGCGCCAUGUUAUACGUUUUGAUGUCUUAGUUAUAGUAUCAUCAACAUGUGUUAUAAUUCUAUACACAGAAUAUGGCAUGAACGUCGCGUAGAAUAGACAUACAAUGCAAAACGUAGUGUAAGCACUUUUCCAAAAGUACAGGAUACUCGAAGCACACUUUGUGGAUUUGUUUGAUUCAGGGUUGAUGUAAGAUGAUUGUUUUGAAAUGCUUUUAACUUGCGUUCUUGCAAUCUUCAGAAUUACAGUGUAAAUUGCCGACAUUACAAUCAUCUGGAAGAUCGAUACGCAGGAUAGAAAGAAUUCGUACUGUUUAUGAAUAUCCAAUGAAAAUUUUUUAUAACUAAGGCAGUGUCCAAUACUGAGGGCCAAUGCUGUACACCAAGCUAGUGUUACUCCAAACCAAACUACUUUACCAGUAACCAAAACAUGAUAUCUCAAUGCACGAGUAAUGGCUAUAAAUCUAUCAAUACCAAUCAGAAGAAUCGCGUUCCCCGUGUUGAAGACGCAGAAGACAAAUAAGGAAGUGUAGUACUGGUAGUCGUCAGUUGUUCUUCGUAUAUAUAGAAGAUACGUCCUCCAAGGUAAAUAUGUUGUCAAGGCAACGAAAUCAGCCACAGCCAAAUUUAAGGUCAGUUUAUCGGAGACACUGUUGUGUUCAUGUCUUUUCGUCAAGAAGAAUAUGAUUUCAAAUAUAUUCGCGAUGGAUCCGAAGAUGAUUUGAAGAGAAUUGAAGAUUACAAGAAAUAUAGCUACGUUUGAGUCCAUAGAGACCUUUGAAUUUGGCAUUGUAUUAUUGGG
rnacentral:lncRNA from 1 species